rnacentral:rRNA from 1 species
UACGAAGGGUGCAAGCGUUACUCGGAAUUACUGGGCGUAAAGCGUGCGUAGGUGGUUUUUAAGUCCGUUGUGAAAGCCCUGGGCUCAACCUGGGAAUGGCAGUGGAUACUGGAAAGCUAGAGUGCGGUAGAGGGUAGUGGAAUUCCCGGUGUAGCAGUGAAAUGCGUAGAGAGUCGGAGGAACACCAGUGGCGAAGGCGGCUACCUGGACCAGCACUGACACUGAGGCACGAAAGCGUGGGGAGCAAACAGG